UACGGGGGGGGCAAGCGUUGUUCGGAAUUACUGGGCGUAAAGGGCUCGUAGGCGGCCAACUAAGUCCGACGUGAAAUCCCAAGGCUUAACCUUGGAACUGCGUCGGAUACUGGAUGGCUUGAAUUCGGGAGAGGGAUGCAGAAUUCCAGGUGUAGCGGUGAAAUGCGUAGAUAUCUGGAGGAAUACCGGUGGCGAAGGCGGCAUCCUGGACCGACAUUGACGCUGAGGAGCGAAAGCAUGGGGAGCGAACAGG
rnacentral:rRNA from 1 species